rnacentral:lncRNA from 1 species
AAAUACAUGCGUAUAUGUAUUUUUUUUUAUAUUUAAUUUUUGAAAAUACAACUAAUUUUUUUUUUUUUUUUUUGCAAAAAAAGUUUUUAAAACACGUUUUUUUGAAUUAUUUAUUGGUAUAUAUAUAUAUAUAUAUAUAUGUAUAUAUGUAUAUAUGUAUAUUUAUACAUGUGUAUGAAAAUGUGAAUGUUAAUAGGAGAAUAGCAUAUACAUGCUGAGGAAAAACACAAAAUUAUUAAUCUAAUUCAAUUUAUUUUUAAUAGUAAAAAAAAAUAAAUAAAAAAAAAAUAAAAUAAAAACAUAUAAUUGGCACAUAUAACCUUUCGUAUAAAUUUUCAUAUUUUAAUAUAAAAAAUUUUAAAGAUAGUUUCACUUAUAAGUUUAAGAGUAUCAUAUAAAUAAAAGUAAUAAAUAUUUUCAACGAUCUAAUUAAAUUUUUUAAGUCUUUUUUAUAUAAAAAUAAGACUAAAAAAAAAAAAAAAGACUAAAAAAAAAAAAAUAAGACUAAAAAAAAAAAAAAAAAAAAAUGAUUUUAUUACAACUAACAGUGCUUGGUUAUCUAAACACAGGAAAAACAUCUUUAAUCAAUUCCAUUAUGAAUAAUAACGUUGUUACAAAUUACAUUCAUACGGAUAUGCCUACGUAAUACAUACAUAUAUACAUAUAUAUAUAUAUAAAUACUUAAACGUAUAUAGAUAGACGCAUAAACAUAUGUAUGUAUGUGUGCAUGUACACACGCACGUAUACAUUUUAACUUAUAACAUACAAAAUUUGUAUAUUAUAUUUUUAAGGAUUUACUAUAAAGUACACCGAGAUGAAAUGAGAAGCUUUUGUGUUGAAAUAGAAGAUACAUCUGUUGAUAUAGAUAUAAAUAUAUUUAUGGACAUGAUAAGAAAAGAAUUGACAAUUGAUAAAAAUAGUAUAAAAAAUCCAGUUUUUAGUAUUUUUGAAAAACCUUCAAUUCCGUUUACUCCAGAUAAUAAAUACAACUCAAUUAGCUACGGACGAAUGGCAUAUUUUUUAGUAUUCGAUCUUACAAAUGAAGAAACAUUUGAAUAUGUUAAGACAAUUUAUUUAAACAUGUCAAAUAUUUAUGAUAAAUAUUAUUCUCUAAAGCCGUUUAUAUCUCUUGUUGGAAAUAAAUCAGAUUUGGUAAAAGAAGAUUGUGAAUUAGUUAGGCAAGCAGAACACUUCGCGACCGAACACUUGGUACAAUUAUGGCUCGUAUCAUCGCUUACAGGGAAAAAUGUUAAGAAGGUAAGAACAUUUUUUUUUUUUUUUUUUAAAUCAUAUAACGUAGAAGUGAUCUAUAACGUAGAAGUGAUCAGUUGCAAUAUAAUAAAAAUAGUGAUAUAAUUACUUAAGUUGAAAAAUUAUAAAUAUAAAAUUAUUCAAUUUUUUUUUUUUUCCAUUUCUUUUUAUUAUUUUUAGUUAUUCUUACAUAUGGUUAACAUGGUUUUCAAUAACACGAAUUUGUGGAAAUACGAUAUGGAAGAUGUAAUAUAUACAUAUACAUGUAUUUACGUUUACACAUAUAUAUAUAUUUACAUGUACAUAUAUGAAUGAAUAAACAUUUCCUCCCCCCCA